AGAAGCUGGUCCCAUUCCCCCCACGCAGGCACGCCUUGGCCGGCACGUCCUCGCCUGGGCCUCCAGCCACUGCAGCGCUGUCCAUGGCUGCUGCUGGCCUCUAGGGGGCACUGCUUGGGCACCCAGAAAGGCCUUGCAGGGUGAGCCAGGCCUGGGUGGGGGUUGUCUCACUGUGUGCUGUCAGGGGCUCAGCCCUUGGAGGGGGCAGCCUGAGGGAGGGCAGAGUGAGGACAGCCUUGGAAAGUCACUGAAAAUGUCCACAUGCGCCUUGUCCACUGGGAGGACAGGUGGACAAGAGGGAGGCGGCUGGUAUGGACCAGCAAUGUGACCUUGGGCCCUGUCUCAGGGCUCAGAUUCCUUGGCUGCACAAGGAAUGGUGUUUGUGUUGGCAUUUGUGGUCACGGUGGCCCUGCCAACUUCCACAGCAUGUGACACCGUCAGGGGACUGUAGGUGUGAGGAAGGACUCAGCUGGAGGGCUCGUGCCACCUCACCUCCAGUUGCUUUUGCUGUCUUCUGCCACCAUGAACUGUUGUUCCUUUUCCAUAUGUCAUCCUGCCUUGGAGUCAGCUGAUUAUGGACUGAAACAUCUACAAACUGUGAGCUAAAUAAAUCUUUCCUCCUUUAACUCUGAGUGUCAGUUAUUUUGCCUCAGAAACUUAAAAAAAGUAACUAUAACUGAAUUUGGUACCAGGAGUGGGGUUGUUGCUAUGCUGUGACUCUACCAGACCAGGAGCCUUUGGGAAAGGCUUGUGGGAAGAGUUUGGAAAGAUUAAGAGAUGCUGGCUAAAACAGUAGAGCUGGAAUACCUUAGGUUGUUCUUUAUGGGCGAUUCUGGUCAGAGGUUCCCAGAAGGUAGAUAGAAAUCCUACUGGUAAAGACCAGGUUUGGGAGGUUUCUGCUGGGAAUAAGGACUUCAUUGGUUGUUGGACUCUAGAUGAUGUGUUAUGGCCUAGCAGAAAGCAUGUCUGCAUUUUGCUUGUGAUAAUAGAUGCCUGAAACUGAGAUUAAGUGCAGCAGAUGAAUUAAUCUUGCAGAAUAAAUUUCAGGGUGGUCUAAUGUUGAGGCAGUGGCAUGGAUCCAAAUUUAUGUAGAGAAUCAAGAACAAAGAGGCCAGCAGAAUGAUUUAAAACACUGAGUUUGGGCAGAAAGCAAACUCCAGUAAAGCUGUGUAUUAUGAAGAUAGAGCAAAGGAGAUUUUGAUUGCUGAGAAGGAACAGUAGAAUAUAAAAGAUGGGGGCUGAGGAUUUAGCUCAGUGGCAUAAGUACCUGCCUUGCAAGCAAGUGGUCGUGAGUUCAAUCCCUGGUAUCGAUAAAAAUGAAAAAGACAAAAAAAAAUAGCAAAAUAAAGUCUAUUUUAAAAAAAGAAUAUAAAAGAUGGCCUGAGGACAUUACAAGAAGCAGCAGGACUCUACCCUUUGUAGUCUCAAAAUUACAAAAGUGAAAGAUUUUCUUCGAAAAGAAAGCCUCAGUAUAUCCUGUUCCUGAAUAUUGUCAGCCACACCAUGUUCCAGAAUGGUGGUAGGUUAGAGAAUUUGUUCCUCAGAAUUGAAUUCAGAGUUUCCAGCAAUCCAGGCACUGGACUCCUUCAGCCAAGAGAGAGGGAAAGCCAAGCUACUGGUCCAGCUGGUGGCAGACCUUGGCAUCAUCCAUGUGGUGCUGGUUUUAGGUGCAUCUAAAUGGAAGGGAAGAAUGAAGGUUAUAGGUUCAGAAAGAUUUCCAUCCAGAUUUCAGAAGAAGGCCGGAGGCCAGGCAGUGUGCCCCUGAGAGGGCAUUUUGUGAAGCUGUGAGUGUGAAGCCAAAGGUGUUAUGGAGACCUCAGAAGGGUGAAGCCAGGAAACAGGAUCAUCUGAGGGAAACUGCAAAGAGGGAGCAAAGUGGGCCCAAAAGAGAAGCCACAAGAGCUACAACUACUGGACGUGCCAUAGGGACAGAGCUACCCAAACUCUGGAGUUCACAUCUUGUGAUAGAUUGCUUCGGACGCUGCACAUGGAACUACAUGACUUAAUGUUUGUGUUGCUGGAUUUUGGAUUUGCUUUGGUCCCAUUUCUUUGUAUCUCCCUGUUUGUAACUUUUGGAGUGGAGAAGUUUAUCUUGUGACACUGAAUGUUGGAAGUGUUUGUAUAGAGGUUCACAGCUAAGAGUCUGCCUUAAAUCUCAGAGGAGACUUGGGACUUGGACUUUUCAGCAAAGCUGAAACUGUUAAGACUUUGGAGACAGGGGCUGGAGAUUUAGCUCAGCGGCAUAAGCACCUGCCUUGCAAGCAGGCGGUCGUGAGUUCGAUCCCUGGUACCGGUAAAAAAAAAAAAAAAAAAAAAAAAAAAAAAAAAAAAAAAAGACUUUGGAGACACUUGGAGAUGGACUAAAUGCCUUUUGCAUAAAGGAAUGUACAUGAGUCUUUGAUGGGGGUAAGGGUGGGAUGUUAUGGUUUGUGUUUAAAUGUCCCCCAAAGCUUCAUGCACUUUUAGAUGGGGCAUUUUUAGUGAUAGCUGAAUCUAGAGUUUGUGAUUGAUUCAUGGGUCAAUGUUAAUGUUAAGGGUGCUAGGAUUAAGGGUGGGUGAUUGCUGGGAUCAUUCCACUGAUUGGAUUGGCAUCACCCUAAUCCCAGAAGUCUGGCUAAAAUAAAAAGGGCAGAAAGAGACCUCUCUUUCUCUCUUUCUGCUUUUUUCUGUCUUCUGCUGCCAUGAACUGUUGCCCCUUUUCCAUGUGCCACCCUGCCUUUAUAGUCAGCUGAUUAUGGACUGAAACCUCUAUAAACUGUGAGCUAAAUAAACCUUUCAUCCUUUAACCUUGGGUGUCAAGUAUUUAUUCUCAGCAAUGAGAGAAAUAACUAAGGCUGUGUUUGGUAUGUGCAGUAUACAAAGACUCCACCACGCCAGGUUCUGGACACACCCAGCAUGCAAAUGGUGUCCUCUGACCCCUGUGAAUGAGGACUGGAAUGCUGGUGGCUUGCGGGGUUGGGGGAGAGUUUAGACUGAGUGAGAUGAUGGGUGGGGGCAGGGACCCCAUUAGAGGUCAAUGUUCAGCAGCAGCAGAUGGAGGGGUAUAUUAGUUAACUUUUUUCUCAUUGCUGAGAAUGCUCAGCACCCAGACUAAGGGGGAGAGGUUUAUUUGGCUUACAGUUUGUAGAGGUUUCAGUCCACAGUCAGCUGCCUGCAGGAUGACAUAGCAGACAGGCAUCAUAGAGGAGAAAGAGUACAUCAUGGGAAGAAGCAAGAAGGGGACAUUAGCAGCUUUUCCCCACACCUUUUAUACUCUAUCUAUGCUACUAGGAUUAGGACAGUGCCAAACCAAUCAGUGGACUAAUUUAAUAGUCACAUACCCUAGAUCCAGCCACUCAGAAAAAGCCCCAUCUAUGACUGCCCAAAGCUUUGGGGAUCAUCUAGACACAAAAUAUAAUAAGGGAACAUGUGAGAGCUGGCGGAGGUGGGGGGUAGGGAGCGGCAGAUGCCUGCAUGCAGACCUUUAGGCCAGGUGCUGGUUGGUUGGUUGAUUUAUUCCCGUUUGUCCAGCACCUCCUUGUGUCAGGCUGUGUGAGUUUGAGCUUAGGACAGGAAGACAGAAAGGUCCCUGGGCUUCUUGGGGGCAGGAAGGCUGAUGCUGCCUGGUUACCCCCACACUGCUGGCUUCUGGGAGGGACUGAGGCUUGCAGGAUAGGAGUGUGCAGAAGAAACUCUGGGGUGGCCAGGGUUCAGGGACCCUGUCUGUGGGUGAAGAACAUCAUGAGAGGGCAUAGAAGACAAGGUAGAGAGCAGAUCCCUGGGUGCCCAAGGAAAUCGUACCAAGCUCCAGGAACUCCCAAGGUUUCCAGCAAGCACUGCAUGGGGCCCAGUGUGUGGCCUGGAGAAUCCCCUUCCACUCAGGUGUAGGACUGGGAGGAGCCAGCGCAGAUGCAGCACAGCAACCUUUUGGUGCAGAGGGUGCAGUCCAGCUCCCUUUAAAGGAAGCCCAAGUCCUGGGAAAGGCAGGCCCGUUGCCCUGGCUGGGGCCUGGCCACUGUGAUGAUGGCAGUGGCAGCAAGAGAUGAGGAGGCUCUCUGGGCCCAGAGGGACACAGCUUGUCCUCGCUGAAGCCUGGCCUGUGGGGAGGGAAGGGGCCCUCCUAAGUUUGGCCAGCCUGGGAGCCCUGCCCAAGGUGCCCAGACAAUGCAGGCUGGAGGCUGCCUGGUUGGAGGUGGCAGGGGACAGUGGUGCCCCAGCUCUGCCUUCUGGGCUCCCCGCCUGGCCCAGGCUUCUACCCAGCUUUUGGCAGCUGCCAGCUAGCCUCCCUGGGGCCCUGGAAAAGACAGAGAUUGAGAAAGAGAGAGAGAGAGAGAGUCUGGGGGCCUCGGGGUGUGCAUAGGAGUGUGUCUGCCUGUGAGGAUCUGAGUGUUUGGGUCUGAUGGUGCAAAUGAGCAUGCAAGUGUGCGGAAUGUGACAACAUACACACAGUGUGACGUGUGUGGGCAUGUGUGAGGGUAUGUGUGCACAGGUCCACCCCCUCCCAUCAGCCCCAGGGC